GGCUGGUCUGAAGGUAGUGAGUUAUCUCACUUGAUUGUUCAGUCAGUUAUAGAUUGAACUCCUUGUUCUAAUUCUUUGUCCCCUUCUCACUACUGCACUUGACUAGUCAAAA
rnacentral:Y_RNA from 1 species